ACCCCUAUCUCCAGCCCUCCGCCUCCUCCCCAGCUCGCUUUAUCUCCUGCAUCCUGCUGCUUGGCAGCACCCUGGCCUCCGUGUCUCCUCCUGUUCUCUUUUUCCCGGUUCUUCACCUUCCUCUGCGUUCCUCAACCACCCUCCUCUGUCCUUGUCCCGGUGGGUGCGGUGCCAAGGGGAGGGAGUGAGCGGGACCUUCUGCAGCCCAGGUCCUGCUCUGCACCCUCCAGCUAGAGCAGGUCUGCUUCGCCUCCCCCACCGCACGCUCAGGCAGAAGCUGUGUAGGCUCUGAAAGGCAAAGCAUUUUCUCGUCUGAUAAAAGUUCAGAGCAAAGAUCCAAACCUCAGAGUUCAACUUUGCCAAUGGGGGAGGAAAUUGGAGAACCCCUUUUCUUGGGGGCCUUCUGUGCUGGGAGGAAACAGCCACCUCGCUUCGAGUGACAAACACCCCUGGAGACAGUUUGCCUACGAGAAUUUCUCAGGGGAUGCUUGGCACCAGCUCGGCGGUUUGGAAGGGACACAUUUGAAACAAAAUCUUGAUGAAGUUAUUCUAGGUAGAAGGAAAUGAUGCAACGAGGGACUUGUCCAUUUGGAGGAAGUUGGAUUUCCGUCAAGGGUGUUAUCUAACCUGCCUUUUUUUUGUAAUAAAGGCUUUUCUGGCCUGUGCAAGAGGGUGUUCAGCUGCCUGAAGGCUGGGGAGAGCAGUUGUAGGUCA